rnacentral:rRNA from 1 species
CUAAUACAUGCAUGUUGAACGGGAUGUAGCAAUACAUUCAGUAGCGAAUGGGUGAGUAACACGUACCUAACCUACCUUUAAGACUGGGAUAACUAUUGGAAACAAUAGCUAAUACCGGAUAUAGUUAUUUAUCGCAUGAUGAGUAAUAGAAAGGAGCUUCACAGCUUCACUUAAAAAUGGGGGUGCGGAACAUUAGUUAGUUGGUAGGGUAAUGGCCUACCAAGACGAUGAUGUUUAGCCGGGCCGAGAGGCUGUACGGCCACACUGGGACUGAGAUACGGCCCAGACUCCUACGGGAGGCAGCAGUAAGGAAUUUUCCACAAUGAGCGAAAGCUUGAUGGAGCGACACAGCGUGCAGGAUGAAGUUCUUCGGAAUGUAAACUGCUGUUAUAAGGGAAGAAAAAAUAGAAUAGGAAAUGAUUUUAUCUUGACGGUACCUUAUUAGAAAGCGACGGCAAACUAUGUGCCAGCAGCCGCGGUAAUACAUAGGUCGCAAGCGUUAUCCGGAAUUAUUGGGCGUAAAGCGUCCGUAGGUUUUUUGCUAAGUCUGGAGUUAAAUGCUGAAGCUCAACUUCAGUCCGCUUUGGAUACUGGCAAAAUAGAAUUAUAAAGAGGUUAGCGGAAUUCCUAGUGAAGCGGUGGAAUGCGUAGAUAUUAGGAAGAACACCAAUAGGCGAAGGCAGCUAACUGGUUAUAUAUUGACACUAAGGGACGAAAGCGUGGGGAGCAAACAGGAUUAGAUACCCUGGUAGUCCACGCCGUAAACGAUGAUCAUUAGUUGGUGGAAUAAUUUCACUAACGCAGCUAACGCGUUAAAUGAUCCGCCUGAGUAGUAUGCUCGCAAGAGUGAAACUUAAAGGAAUUGACGGGAACCCGCACAAGCGGUGGAGCAUGUGGUUUAAUUUGAAGAUACGCGUAGAACCUUACCCACUCUUGACAUCUUCUGCAAAGCUAUAGAGAUAUAGUGGAGGUUAACAGAAUGACAGAUGGUGCAUGGUUGUCGUCAGCUCGUGUCGUGAGAUGUUAGGUUAAGUCCUGCAACGAGCGCAACCCUUUUCUUUAGUUACUAAUAUUAAGUUAAGGACUCUAGAGAUACUGCCUGGGUAACCAGGAGGAAGGUGGGGACGACGUCAAAUCAUCAUGCCUCUUACGAGUGGGGCAACACACGUGCUACAAUGGUCGGUACAAAGAGAAGCAAUAUGGUGACAUGGAGCAAAUCUCAAAAAACCGAUCUCAGUUCGGAUUGAAGUCUGCAACUCGACUUCAUGAAGUCGGAAUCGCUAGUAAUCGUAGAUCAGCUACGCUACGGUGAAUACGUUCUCGGGUUUUGUACACACCGCCCGUCACACCAUGGGAGUUGGUAAUGCCCAAAGUCGGUGAG